AGUGAACGCUGGCGGUAGGCCUAACACAUUCAAGUCGAACGGCAGCACAGUAAGAGCUUGCUCUUACGGGUGGCGAGUGGCGGACGGGUGAGGAAUACAUCGGAAUCUACUUUUUCGUGGGGGAUAACGUAGGGAAACUUACGCUAAUACCGCAUACGACCUACGGGUGAAAGCAGGGGAUCUUCGGACCUUGCGCGAUUGAAUGAGCCGAUGUCGGAUUAGCUAGUUGGCGGGGUAAAGGCCCACCAAGGCGACGAUCCGUAGCUGGUCUGAGAGGAUGAUCAGCCACACUGGAACUGAGACACGGUCCAGACUCCUACGGGAGGCAGCAGUGGGGAAUAUUGUACAAUGGGCGCAAGCCUGAUCCAGCCAUACCGCGUGGGUGAAGAAGGCCUUCGGGUUGUAAAGCCCUUUUGUUGGGAAAGAAAAGCAGCAGGUUAAUACCCCGCUGUUCUGACGGUACCCAAAGAAUAAGCACCGGCUAACUUCGUG
rnacentral:rRNA from 1 species